AAGCUUGAUGAUGAUGAAAUCAUCGAAUAUAUUCUCAAUGGUCUCAAUGCGGAUUAUAAUCCGUUUGUCUCUUCAAUGGUUUCUAAGGAAAACCUCACGCUUAGUGAUAUGUAUGCCCAAUUUCUUGCAUAUGAAGC